GACGAACGCUGGCGGCGUGCCUAACACAUGCAAGUCGAACGAGUGGCGGACGGGUGAGUAAUGUCUGGGAAACUGCCCGAUGGAGGGGGAUAACUAAUGGAAACGGUGGCUAAUACCGCAUAACGUCGGAUGUGCCCAGAUGGGAGGAGCGAGUAGGUGGGGUAACGGCUCACCUAGGCGACGAUACCUAGCUGGUCUGAGAGGAUGACCAGCCACACUGGAACUGAGACACGGUCCAGACUCCUACGGGAGGCAGCAGUGGGGAAUAUUGCACAAUGGGCGCAAGCCUGAUGCAGCCACGCCGCGUGUAUGAAGAAGGCCUUCGGGUUGUAAAGUACUUUCAGCGGGGAGGCGGUACUCGCAGAAGAAGCACCGGCUAACUCCGUGCCAGCAGCCGCGGUAAUUC
rnacentral:rRNA from 1 species